GAGAGAGAGUAGUCAAAGAACCUCUUUCCUUACAAGACUGCGGCUCUGCUGAGCGGAAAGAACACAGUGAAAAGAGAAGGUUAACAACAAAGGAAACAAAAAGCGAGCUUUUCCAAAGGAGAAUGCUGUUUAUCCAAACCGAGUCAACUCAAUGAGUCGGGGCUGACCCGAAUCCCAAACUAUUUUUGGACCGUACUCAGUCAGCAGACCAACAACGUUGGGGCUCCCAGUCCCGAUCCUAGUGGUAGACAUCGGCGUCAGGUAACCUUUCCAACCGAGUUCAAAUCA